UACGUAGGGGGCAAGCGUUGUCCGGAAUUAUUGGGCGUAAAGAGCUUGUAGGCGGUUGUCGCGUCUGCUGUGAAAUCUCAAGGCUCAACCUUGAGCUUGCAGUGGGUACGGGCAGACUAGAGUGUGGUAGGGGAGACUGGAAUUCCUGGUGUAGCGGUGAAAUGCGCAGAUAUCAGGAGGAACACCGAGUGGCGAAGGCAGGUC
rnacentral:rRNA from 1 species